rnacentral:rRNA from 1 species
AAGUCGUAACAAGGUUUCCGUAGGUGAACCUGCGGAAGGAUCAUUAAUGAAACUUCAAAGUCGGCCAAGGGUUGUUGCUGGUGAUUAUUCACAUGUGCACACCUUUGGUCGCAAAUCCACACACACCUGUGCACCUAUGACUCGAGGUUGUAAUGACUGAGAGUAACUUUUACACACUCUUGUAUGUAAUGGAAUGUCUUUUUGUGCUAUAAUGUACAAUAUAAACGACUUUCAACAACGGAUCUCUUGGCUCUCGCAUCGAUGAAGAACGCAGCGAAAUGCGAUAAGUAAUGUGAAUUGCAGAAUUCAGUGAAUCAUCGAAUCUUUGAGCGCACCUUGCACCCUUUGGUAUUCCGAAGGGUACGCCCGUUUGAGUGUCAUUGUAAUCUCACUUCUACAACUUUAUUGUUGUUUGAAUGUGGACUUGGAUGUUGCCGUUUUAUCACGGCUCGUCUUAAAUGCCUGAGUGUACCCUGUUUUGCAGCGUAUCCAGUGUAAUAAACAUUUCACUAGAGUUGGUCGAAAGACCGCGUUGACUAUAUGGGCUCUAUGCUUCAAACCGUCUGCUCUGUGGACAAUUUCUUGACAAUUUGACCUCAAAUCGGGUGGGACUACCCGCUGAACUUAAGCAUAUCAAUAAGCGGAGGAAAAGAAACUAACAAGGAUUCCCCUAGUAACGGCGAGUGAAGAGGGAAAAGCUCAAAUUUUGAAUCUGGUGUCUUUGACUCCCGAGUUGUAAUCUAGAGAAGUGUUUUCCGUGUCGGACCGUGUACAAGUUCCCUGGAACGGGGCGUCAUAGAGGGUGAGAAUCCCGUAUAUGCCACGGACUACCGAUGCUCUGUGAUACACUCUCAACGAGUCGAGUUGUUUGGGAAUGCAGCUCAAAAUGGGUGGUAAAUUCCAUCUAAAGCUAAAUAUUGGCGAGAGACCGAUAGCGAACAAGUACCGUGAGGGAAAGAUGAAAAGCACUUUGGAAAGAGAGUGAAACAGUACGUGAAAUUGUUGAAAGGGAAGCGUUUGAAGUCAGUCGCAUCUGUUGGGGUUCAGCCUGGCUUUUGCCUGGUGUAUUUCCUUUCCGAUGGGUCAGCAUCAGUUUCGACCGAGGGAAAAAGACAUUUGGAAUGUGGCUGUCUUCGGGCAGUGUUAUAGCCUUGUGUUGUAUGUCUCGGUUGGGACUGAGGAUUGCAGCGCGCCAUAAAUGGCCGGGGGUCGCUCCUCUCGACACGCGCUUAGGAUGCUGGCAUAAUGGCUUUAAGCGACC